rnacentral:rRNA from 1 species
ACGCUGUGCGGCGUGCCUAAUACAUGCAAGUCGAGCGAACAGAAAAGGAGCCUGCUUCUUUGACGUUAGCGGCGGACGGGUGAGAAACAAGUGGGCAACCUACCCUAUAGUUUGGGAUAACUCCGGGAAACCGGGGCUAAUACCGAAUAAUCUCUUUUGCUUCAUGGUGAAAGACUGAAAGACGGUUUCGGCUGUCGCUAUAGGAUGGGCCCGCGGCGCAUUAGCUAGUUGGUGAGGUAACGGCUCACCAAGGCGACGAUGCGUAGCCGACCUGAGAGGGUGAUCGGCCACACUGGGACUGAGACACGGCCCAGACUCCUACGGGAGGCAGCAGUAGGGAAUCUUCCACAAUGGGCGAAAGCCUGAUGGAGCAACGCCGCGUGAGUGAAGAAGGUUUUCGGAUCGUAAAACUCUGUUGUAAGGGAAGAACAAGUACAGUAGUAACUGGCUGUACCUUGACGGUACCUUAUUAGAAAGCCACGGCUAACUACGUGCCAGCAGCCGCGGUAAUACGUAGGUGGCAAGCGUUGUCCGGAAUUAUUGGGCGUAAAGCGCGCGCAGGCGGUCCUUUAAGUCUGAUGUGAAAGCCCACGGCUCAACCGUGGAGGGUCAUUGGAAACUGGGGGACUUGAGUGCAGAAGAGGAAAGUGGAAUUCCAAGUGUAGCGGUGAAAUGCGUAGAGAUUUGGAGGAACACCAGUGGCGAAGGCGA